AUACGGAGGGGGCUAGCGUUGUUCGGAAUUACUGGGCGUAAAGCGUACGUAGGCGGACUGAUCAGUUGGGGGUGAAAUCCCAGGGCUUAACCCUGGAACUGCCUUCAAUACUGUCAGUCUUGAGUUUGGGAGAGGUGAGUGGAAUUCCUAGUGUAGAGGUGAAAUUCAUAGAUAUUAGGAGGAACACCAGUGGCGAAGGCGGCUCACUGGCCCAUUACUGACGCUGAGGUACGAAAGCGUGGGGAGCAAACAGGAUUAGAUACCCUAGUAGUCC
rnacentral:rRNA from 1 species